rnacentral:rRNA from 1 species
AGCGGGACGUAUUCCCGCACGUUGCUGAUCUGCGAUUACUAGCGACUCCGACUUCAUGGGGUCGAGUUGCAGACCCCAAUCCGAACUGAGACCGGCUUUCUGGGAUUCGCUCCCCCUCACGGGAUCGCAGCCCUUUGUACCGGCCAUUGUAGCAUGCGUGAAGCCCAAGACGUAAGGGGCAUGAUGAUUUGACGUCAUCCCCACCUUCCUCCGAGUUGACCCCGGCAGUCUCCUAUGAGUCCCCGGCCGAACCGCUGGCAACAUAGAACGAGGGUUGCGCUCGUUGCGGGACUUAACCCAACAUCUCACGACACGAGCUGACGACAACCAUGCACCACCUGUGCACCAGCCACAAAGGGAAACCACAUCUCUGCAGUCGUCCGGUGCAUGUCAAGCCUUGGUAAGGUUCUUCGCGUUGCAUCGAAUUAAUCCGCAUGCUCCGCCCGCUUGUGCGGGCCCCCGUCAAUUCCUUUGAGUUUUAGCCUUGCGGCCGUACUCCCCAGGCGGGGCGCUUAAUGCGUUAGCUGCGGCACGGAUCCCGUGGAAUGGGACCCACACCUAGCGCCCAACGUUUACGGCGUGGACUACCAGGGGUAUCUAAUCCUGUUCGCUCCCCACGCUUUCGCUUCUCAGCGUCAGUAAUGGCCCAGAGACCUGCCUUCGCCAUCGGUGUUCCUCCUGAUAUCUGCGCAUUCCACCGCUACACCAGGAAUUCCAGUC